AAAAUAUUUACUCUCUCAUUUCUUCCAGAUACACCCUAUCUUCCUAUUGCCCCGACUUCAUGUUUUAUUGAUUUAUUUUAUUAAUAACCCAUGAGUCCCGUUUGUGUUGCCAUAUACUCCUAGGUGUGCAGGCAUCCCUGAAGCAUGGUUGACCAACCAGGGGCUGUACCCUUAAGGAACCUGAUUCUCCCUCAUCCAGAAGUCAUCAACUGUCUAUGGCUCCCCAAAUAGGGAUGGGCGCUUGCAGACUCCUUCCCCUCACAUGCUAGAAUGAUGGUUGGCUUGUUUAUCAUAUAGGUUUAAACUCUACACAAGAUGGAUUCUCCAGGACUCCUGCAGGCUCCUACAUUCUGGGUACAGACGUGUGUUCUUAUCUACUGGGAUGGGUGGUUGACUUCAGGGGGUUGGGGCUCACAGUUGUCACUGGCAUGGAAUGGUAUGAAUGCUGUACCCUGGAAGAGUAAUGGUUCUGUUACCGUUUGCUUCAUGCAGGGCCGUGGGUAGCAUUGCUGGGUGUUCUCAUCUGUCUGUAGUAAUACUAGCAUGAAGUAACCUUGACAUAUGAGACGCUUGCCCAAGCAGCACCCAUUCUUGCAGAAGUACAGAGGGAGAAGUGCCAGUCUUGGGCCAGGGUGAAGUGUGUAGUUACUGAAAACCUAAUGGUUACUUUCUUUUGUAAUUAAAACUUCAAACUGCCUUCUUCAAACUGCCCUCCAGGUAAGGGGAAUGGAUUCCCCUGUGUCCAAGGGAGAUGAACCUUUCACAAUCUACGACCUGUAGACAAACCGAACAUGGGAAGAAUAUCAUAGUGGGCUGCUUCUUGCUCUAUCCUGGUGCCCUGUGGUGGAUGGGGGACAGCCUGAAGGUGCUGGGUCUCUGGGGACAGACAUUCACAUUGCUGCAUUGCUGAGAAGAUGCCUUGGUCUGGAAGAGCAUCCCAACUGGACAGGCUCUGCUAAGAGCGCUGUGUGGUUUCUAGCCUGCAGGAGGUACGGGUGGCAAACAUUUUUUGUGCCUUGAAUCUGGGUACAUGAAGCAUCUGCUGCGAGCCAGGUAUUUGAGAGGACUCUUGUUUCUAAUGCACCCCGGAUGUUUGUCCUGACUGAAAGCACAGCAGCUUUGUCUGCACCCCUUCCAAGUGUGCAAAGCCAGGUUCUCCACGAUCAGGUGCUCAUUCUGCUGUUUCCCAUUUUCUGCAGAGUCUCCAGUUUGCCUUGGUCCCCCACUGUUCCUCUUUCAUCAGAAUGACCAAAGCCUGGUCCUUACCACUGCACACUCUAGUUGCUCUAAUUAAACAUUCGAGACCCACCAGGGCAACUCCCUUGCAAUCCUUGCCAUCUUCCAGCUCAUUCUGUUCUUGUCUCUUGGUGGGAAUGCACAGAGACAAUUCAGGGAGGGGAGAGGUCACAGUGACAUUAAGUUGAACUGGGAUAGAUUGGGUUCAGACCUCCUUGAGUACCAGGAACCCUCACCUCAGGAGUCCUUACCUGAUUUCUGCACGGUGCCAAUAGAUGGACUGGAUCAAUGCUCUCCUAGUGACAUGAGUGACCCUCGCUCUGGAACUCAUGGGAAAUGCUAGUUCUGAGUAGGCACCAGAGCACACAGUAGCUGUGUCUUAGCAUGCCUGGGGAAGUGAGAGAGUUCCCAAAGUUCGAGGCCUGGUUAAAAUGAAUGCAAAGCCUCCUUUGAAAGGGACAGCUUAUGCCUAUUGCCUUGACUUGUGGGAUGGCCAAUAGGCAAGGGGGGCGGGGCUUACCCAGAGGAAACAAAACACACAGUCACCCUGGAAGCCGCUUCCAGGCUUCACAGAGUAUGGCAUUACUUGGAUUGUGUUCCACAUUAUUCCCCCACCCCCAACCUCCAGCAAAAGCUGACAGGAGACCCGUGGGAAGGCCCUGAUGUCCCUGAAGAGCUGUUCUUGUCCUGAACAGUCCUUGAAAAGGCUUCCUAAGGCAGCACCUGGAGAGCAGGGCAGACGGCAGCUUUGAGCCCGUCAGAGCAGAUACAGUUUCUCCAUUCGUUCCUGGCACAAUUGGAUUUUCCUUGCUACAUCAAGGCACGUGAAGAUCGCUGGUACUUAGGAAGUGGGACCUCCAACCCAGGAGAAGAUUCUAGAAAGUGUGGCAUAGGCUGAGCAUAUGUGAAGGGGAAUGUGUACUCUGCAUUGGGAACCAUGCCAAGUGCCCGUGUUAUAGUCUGGAUAUAAAAUGGUCCACUGGAGGCUUGAGACAUGGCCCAGAGGCUACUAGUGCCUGCCGCUGUUGUAGAAGAAAUAGGUUCAAUCCCUGGAACUUACAAUGGCUUGUAACUCUUGGAGAUGUGAUACCUUCUUCUGGCCUUUGAUUUCUCUAUAUAGCCCUGGCUGUCCUGGAACAGGCUGUGGAGACCUGCGGAGACCAUCUUGGCCUUGAACUCAGAGACCACUGCCACACACUACCACAAAAACAUACAUCUUUCACAAAAGGUUUGUGUGCAGAAGGUUUGGUCUCCAGAACACCCUUCACUCCUUGUCUUCUUGGAGUCUGCUUCUUCACCCAGAAGGACUGAACUUCAGAGCUCCUGGAAGGCUACACCUUCUGAGAUCCUCUAUGACCUGGGCACAGUAGGAUGGAGGGGUGACAUCCAGAAGAGAUACUUCUAAGGGGCCGAGGAGGAUUCUCAAAGCAAGUCUCAUCUUCUCUCAGCAAGGAGAAAAACAAGGAAACAAAAGAGCUGGGGGAUUGGCUACUCAAUUCUCAAUUUUGAGGAAAAUCUAAAGGAAGUCACAGGACCAUGGUCAAUGGCACUGUGUAGGGUCUCAGGAGGGCCUGGCCUCUCUGACUUCCUAUCCAGCAGCCUUUCUGCUCUGGGCUUUGAUCUUCCACCACAACUGGAGUCUGCCUGGAUCUUCACACUCUUCCCCAGGGCUGCCAUGCUAGGAACAUCUCUAGGAAAGACCGGCACAUGCAGUGUGUGACAAGCUGUGCGAUGCCACUUCACUGAGAUCAAUGCUGAGGAAAGAACAGUUUGUACCUUGUGAAGUUAGAAAACCAUCAGACAGAUGACUGUCCUCAGGCAGAGGACAAUUACCUAAAGCUGGCUGGCAGGAGUCCUGCACUACGGAAUGAAGAUCCCGUGCAAAAGAAAUGCUGGGGCUCGAGAACAAUGAAUGGACAGAGGAGGGUGGUUCCUGGGAUCUCUCUUCUAUCCAUUUGUUCCAAGGGCACCUGAGUUCUCAGAGUUCUCUAAGUUCUAAUGUGGCAAGGGUGUGUCCAACCUUGUUGAUUGUUUUUAGAAAAGGCACAAAGAGUCAUUUGUACUUUGGUCUUUGGGUCAGGAGUCUUCAGGUCCAACAUUUUGUUAGGUCUGAUAGACUUCUAGGACUGGCUGGGCUCAGAAGCAAUUAUACACUAUUAUUAUUAUAGGAAGAAAGGGUGUGAGAAACUAUGAAGAAUUAGGCAUAGAUAUUUAAUUCCCCAGUAACACUGGGGAAUGUAAGGCAUGCAUGUAAGGCAUGACUGAGCAGAUGUUUCUAUAAGUAUUAGUGCCCAUGUAAUGCCUGUGUGACUAACACCAGCCUCUUAAAGCUGGAUUCUUGCUGAUUGAAUUGGUACAACAUUGACUGAGACUCAAGGGCUCAAACAAGCCAAUAUGUGUUUACAAGGUAGAACUUUCUAAGGAUGUAGUUCUCCCAGGGGAUGGCCAUUGGUCAGUCCUGGUUCCAGAGGUUUACCAGGAAUGUCUAGGGUUUGAGUAACCCAGAUCUGUUGACUGAAGUUCCCAUCCAUUUUUCCUUUGUAUUUUAGGAUUAAUUUGUCACAUUCCACAAAAUACCCUUGUUGGAAUUCAUAUGUUGAAUAUAGAAAAAUAAUCAGGAUGAAAUGCUUUUCUUUUUGAUAAUGAUUUUUUUCGUGUUAUUUUCUAUUUGUAAAGUGCUUUAUAUCCUGUAGAAUGUUUACAAAUGCUUUAAUAAAGUCUUAUCCAUCUUCUCUUUGAUUAUUUCCGCACAUUUGUUAAACUUGGUCCACAAACAUUUUGGCUGUCAUUGUAUUCUCUAGUCCACAGCAGAGGGUAUAGGGGACUAUUAUUAUUUUUUGUAUAUUGGACUUGUAGCCAACAACCCUCUUGGUCUUCCUUUACAGCUUUAUUGUCUAUAAAUUCUUCCUGGAAAUUUCUUUAGAAAAUGUAUUGGUUUCAUAUGGCAACAGUAAGAAAAUACUAUAUAUUUAGUGGCUUAAAAGGACAUAAGUCUCCUCUCUUAUGGUUUUGGAGGCUGUAUCAAAUUGUUCUCACUGGGCUGCAUGCAUAGCAGGGCUCUUAGAGAAUCUGUAAUCUGUGUACUUGUCUAGCUUAUAAAAACUACCAGAAUUCUUUGGCUCUUGAUCCCUGGCUCAUAUCACUCCAGCUUCUUGUUCUUUUGGUUUCAUAGCCCUCUUGUCAGUGCCCAUGAUUACAAUGGGUCAGAUCAAGCCUAUGAUAACUCAGACUAAUGGUUCAAAGUGGAAACUCUUGACUUUAUCAAAGUGGCAGCAUGAUUAACUGGCAAAGUAAUUAUCAUGGACUUUGGGAAUUAGGGUAUGGAUAUCUUGGGUAACCAUUUUUCAUUACACAAUCACAUUGUUUAUAAAAAAAGGUGUUUUCACUUUUAAAUUCAUAUACCUUUUAUUUCUUGUCUGGAUUGUUAGGAUUAUUAAAGACUCUCAAUACAUAUCCAGUAGACACUGACUUAGUAAGCCUUUAUUCUGACUUCCAUGGUAGUAUUUGUAAUAUUUCUCCAUCAUAUUUCUGUUUGCUGUGGUGUUGGCUGGUAUUAAAUCAGUGUUACAAGAUGUGUUGUUACGACUUCACGAUGCCGAUUUUGUGGUGUUUAUGUUCUCUGAGUAGCUUCAGACUUGUUUAAUCACCCACUGCUGCUUAAUAGCUUAAAUGCUGGUGUGGGCACCCUCACCUUACACGCUCAUCUGCUGAGGUUGGCCUGGCUAGCUAAUCUGGGCUGGGGCCACUCCUACCAUUUAGUUGCUCCAUUGAUAAUACGGAAUGGUUCAGUCUGAUGUCAGCUGCAUUUCUGCCUGUGAGCUGCUCUCCCUUGUCCUCCAUGUAGCCUCUUGGGGAGGAUGGCUCACAUUUCCAACAUUAAGGCAGUGUGUUACAAGACAGAAAACCUGUAACAGCCUCUCUGUAGCUUUCAUUAUAUCUACUGAUGUCUUUUGGGCCAAAGCAAGACACAAGACCACCCUGAGCUAAUCUGGAAGGGUUGCAUAGGAUUGUUAGAUUUCAACAAUGGCUAAGAGUACCUCCUAUGUGGGCUUUGGUGUCUGCCUUGCCAUGCAUAUUACCUUCAAAUCGCUGCCUUCCCACACCUUUUCACCGUACAGCCCCUUCGCUGGUGGACGUAGAAGGAAUGUGGUGAAACACCUAGUUUUCAGAGUUAGCUCUGGGGAGAAAUCUCAAUAUUGGUUCUCAAAUAUGGCCACAAGCCUCUAUCCCAAACACAAUGCCAUUUUAGUUUUAGUAUUGUUCAUGAUAACCGUUUUCAGGCAAAGGAGAGCUUUGCAGACCCUUCUGUCUUGGUUCCCUCUAGCCUCCUUUUCACCACUCUCUACUUCACCAAACAGACAGGUGAUCUUUUCUUUAUUAUUGUUUCCAAAUUGAAAGUGUGUAAUAUCAUUCUGUCCUUUGCUCUGUUUUAGUUUCUCCCUCUCUCCUACCCUUCCUGACUCCCUCCUUGCAGCUCUGCCCUUUGUAAUUUUUAGCAUUCUUAUUAUAGGCUAAGAUUAUAAAGAAGGGAUGCUUAUAUAUCCUUCAUUCUCAAGUGUGGUUGAGUUUAUGUGCUAUUCAGGAAGCCCUGGGUACUUUAGUGAUGAACAGAGCAGAGGACACUUAUGAGCAACUGUGGAGUAGUUAAAAUGAUGGAUAGAGAAAUAUGGGGUAGUGUUCAGCCUCUGGUCAGGUCACUGAGGAGAAAGAAAGGAGUAAUUAAAGUGGCUGGAUAAUGUGUCUCACUGAGAAAAAGCCUCUGCAGGCUCUGAGCAGUCAGCAGGGAUGGGGCUGAGGGAAGGGAAGAGGUGAUCUGGAGAUGGCUCAUUAGCAUGGAAAUGAAAGAAGAGGUGAGACACUGAAUAUCAACAGAAGGAGGGAUCAGGUCAAGUGCAGCCAGAGAAGGUCCCACUAUCCAGGGAGUAAUUUGCACUUCUUAGGCUCCAAUUUCAGGGCAGAAUGGGAAUCCCUCCUCUACUGACUCCUCUGUUGCUAGUGAUAAUUUCUCUACCAUCAUUCUGAACAUUGAGAAUAGAAAAUGACUAUCAUAUUUGGAAUUAGCUGUUCCUUCCCCAAAAUAUCUGGAUGAGUCACAGGGAACUUUCCCCUCAGCCUAUUAGGUCAGACAGGACUCUCUCUCACUGUCAGAGAUGGGUGUGGUCCCUGCUUGU
rnacentral:sRNA from 1 species